rnacentral:rRNA from 1 species
CCUACGGGAGGCAGCAGUGAGGAAUAUUGGUCAAUGGACGCAAGCCUGAACCAGCCAAGCCGCGUGCAGGAAGACGGUUCUAUGGGUUGUAAACUUCUUUUGUACGAGAGCAAAGCCCGACACGUGUGUCGGGUUGAAGGUAUCGUACGAAUAAGGAUCGGCUAACCCCGUGCCAGCAGGCGCGGUAAUACCGAGGAUUGAAGCGUUAACCGGAUUUAUUGGGGUUAAAGGGUUCGGUGGCGGUUAGGUAAGGUAGAGGUGAAAUCGCCGGGGUUAACCACCGCACUGCCGUUGAUACUGGCGGGCUUGAGUGAACUUGAGGUAGGCGGAAUGUAUGGUGUAGCGGUGAAAUGCAUAGAGAUCAUACAGAACUCCGAUUGCGAAGGCAGCUUACC